GACGAACGCUGGCGGCGUGCCUAAUACAUGCAAGUCGAACGCUUCUUUCCUCCCGAGUGCUUGCACUCAAUUGGAAAGAGGAGUGGCGGACGGGUGAGUAACACGUGGGUAACCUACCCAUCAGAGGAGGAUAACACUUGGAAACAGGUGCUAAUACCGCAUAACAGUUUAUGCCGCAUGGCAUAAGAGUGAAAGGCGCUUUCGGGUGUCGCUGAUGGAUGGGCCCGCGGUGCAUUAGCUAGUUGGUGAGGUAACGGCUCACCAAGGCCACGAUGCAUAGCCGACCUGAGAGGGUGAUCGGCCACACUGGGACUGAGACACGGCCCAGACUCCUACGGGAGGCAGCAGUAGGGAAUCUUCGGCAAUGGACGAAAGUCUGACCGAGCAACGCCGCGUGAGUGAAGAAGGUUUUCGGAUCGUAAAACUCUGUUGUUAGAGAAGAACAAGGACGUUAGUAACUGAACGUCCCCUGACGGUAUCUAACCAGAAAGCCACGGCUAACUACGUG
rnacentral:rRNA from 1 species